UUUUUCGCUGACAAUUUGACCACCUAUUUUGCUUUCUCAUUUCUCAUCUACAAGUUUUGCACUUUUUUCACUCACAAUUCGACCACCUCCAAAGUCUACAGCUCCGACACCUCCAAAGUCUACGUUGAUUUGGCUAGACUUGGCCAGCUCCGAUGUUGCCGCACCUUCAUUUUGACCAUUUGCCAAUCAUCGCUUCCAUCGAUGACAGAAAAAAGGUAAAUGCUGAAAUUUAUUGUAAAACCUAAAAUUAGUUUUGCUGAUGUAUAUGAUGAUGUGUGUAUAGAAAGCAGAGACACGCCAUGAAAAAAAUCUCUAUUUUCAUUGUGUGUGAAAUCUGAAUUUAUUUAUUUUAUUUUAUUUUAUUAUUAUUAUUAUUAUUUUUUUGUAUUUGAAGUAGAAGCAUGAUGACUAGAAAUGACAGUUCGAUCGGCCUUUUGUCGUAAGGAAAGAAAUUUCGGAUGACAUCGAAGCUGUUAUGUUGGUGGAGUCGGAUGAGGAGAGUGAUAUUGACAAUACAAAAUUACUGGGUGAUGGUGCAACAUGAAGAAAUGUGUGACUGUUACUGAGGUGGAUACGAAGUUUAAGGACAAAAAUGAAAUAUUCAAUUUUUAUAAAAGAUAUGCAUUUGACUUGGGGUUUUCGAAUUAGAAAAGGGAAAUCGAAAAGGAAAGAUGAUGGAGUUAAGUGAUAUAUUACAUUUGUUUGUAGUCGCGAAGGGAAAAAAAUUUAAUAAUACAAGCGUUUCUUUGAAGCCACAAGCUACCAUGCCGAGUGGAUGUAAAGCUAGACUUACCUCAUGUUCAGAUAUUCGUGGAAUAUGGCGAAUUAACAUAGUACACUUGGAUCACAAUCAUAGAACAAGUUCUUCGAAGUCCAAAUUAUAUCGAUGCAACAGAGAAUUAAGUGCUCAAGUAAAACAUCAACUUGAAGUAAAUGACAUUGUAGGAAUACCACUGCACAAAAGUUUCAACUAUGCAAUUAUCGUAGGAGGUGGAUAUGAGAAUAUGGCCUGCAUUGAGAAGGACUAUCGAAACUAUGUUAAGCGAGUUAGGAGGCUAAGACUCGGAGAAGGUGACGCGCAGCAAUUCGAUCAUACUUUUUGACCAUGCAAGCAUGGGGAUGUACUGAAACUAAUACAGGAUUUCAUGGUUGUUGUGUUCAAUUUAUUUCUUAAUUGGGGAAAAUAUUGUUAUGCUAUUUGUUACGGCAUUGUUGUUUAACCAUUGUAAGAAGUUGUCUUUGUUUGAA
rnacentral:lncRNA from 1 species